GGGCUAUAGCCCAGGGGUAGAACAUCUGUGUUGCAUGCACAAGGUCCCAGGUUCAAACCCUGGCAUCUCCC